CCUACGGGCGGCAGCAGUGGGGAAUAUUGCACAAUGGGCGCAAGCCUGAUGCAGCGACGCCGCGUGAGGGAUGGAGGCCUUCGGGUUGUGAACCUCUUUCGCCAGUGAAGCAGGCUCAUCUCUUUGUGGGUGGGUUGACGGUAGCUGGAUAAGAAGCGCCGGCUAACUACGUGCCAGCAGCCGCGGUAAUACGUAGGGCGCGAGCGUUGUCCGGAAUUAUUGGGCGUAAAGAGCUCGUAGGCGGCUGGUCGCGUCUGUCGUGAAAUCCUCUGGCUUAACUGGGGGCUUGCGGUGGGUACGGGCCGGCUUGAGUGCGGUAGGGGAGACUGGAAUUCCUGGUGUAGCGGUGGAAUGCGCAGAUAUCAGGAGGAACACCGGUGGCGAAGGCGGGUCUCUGGGCCGUUACUGACGCUGAGGAGCGAAAGCGUGGGGAGCGA
rnacentral:rRNA from 1 species